AGAGUUUGAUCCUGGCUCAGGAUAAACGCUGGCGGCGUGCAUGAGACAUGCAAGUCGAACGGGUGACUUAGGGCUUGCUCUAAGUCGCUAGUGGCGGACGGCUGAGUAACGCGUAGGUGACCUACCCCGAAGUGGGGAAUAACUGCCCGAAAGGGUGGCUAAUACCGCAUGUGACCGGUCAUUCAUUUGAUCGAUCAAAGCAGCAAUGCGCUUUGGGAGGGGCCUGCGUCCGAUUAGCUCGUUGGUGGGGUAAUGGCUCACCAAGGCGACGAUCGGUAGGUGGUCUGAGAGGACGAUCACCCAGACUGGGACUGAGACACGGCCCAGACUCCUACGGGAGGCAGCAGUCGGGAAUUUUGCUCAAUGGGGGAAACCCUGAAGCAGCAACGCCGCGUGAGGGAUGAAGGCCUUCGGGUUGUAAACCUCUUUUCUCAGGGACGAUAAUGACGGUACCUGAGGAAUAAGCCACGGCUAACUACGUGCCAGCAGCCGCGGUAAUACGUAGGUGGCAAGCGUUGUCCGGAUUUACUGGGCGUAAAGAGCGCGCAGGCGGUUAUUCAAGUCGAAUGUGAAAGCCCCCGGCUUAACUGGGGAGGGUCAUUCGAUACUGUUUAACUUGAAGGCAGGAGAGGGUAGUGGAAUUCCCGGUGUAGUGGUGAAAUGCGUAGAUAUCGGGAGGAACACCAGUGGCGAAGGCGACUACCUGGCCUGUUCUUGACGCUGAGGCGCGAAAGCUGGGGGAGCAAACGGGAUUAGAUACCCUGGUAGUCC
rnacentral:rRNA from 1 species